GCUUUCUUGGCUCAGCCGGUAGAGCGUCAGUCUCAUACGUGUUAUCUGAAGGUCAGCAGUUCGAGCCUGCUAGAGAGCA
rnacentral:tRNA from 1 species